rnacentral:lncRNA from 10 species
CACAGAAAGCCCAAGCUCUUGCACAAGGAUCAGAAGGGGGUAUAACCAGAAUUUGUUUCUCAGCAUCCUGACCAACAAUUAUUUUACCUACUAAACAGGGAAGCCUUUCAAAUAUAAUCCAGGGUAUCCGCUUCAUUUUACAACUAAAGAAAUGAAGGCUGGUUUCUGCUGGUCUAGACAUCUGGGUUCCAAAAGAAGAAUGCAUCUCCCAGGAGACAUGACAAUGAUUCCAUUCAACAGGAAGUUGAGACUGCCACCUGAACACUUUGGGCUCCUCAUGCCUCUGAAUCAACGGGCAAAGAAGAGAGUUAUAGAUCCUAACCACCCAGGAGAAAUUCGGUGGCCACUACACAAACAGACUUUUCUGACUCUGCGGCCAGGUGUUUGUAUUUAACUCCACGGUGAGGAGACUCAUCUUCUGACGGACCUAACCUAUACCAUCAAGCUCCAGCACCACAAGCAAAGACAAAAACCUUGCGGAAACUAUUUAACUAACUCCCACAAUUGCAUAAGGAUCUAAAUGAAAAUAUUUCUGCAGUGAACCAGUUCUAUUGUUUUAAAUAUCACCCUUAUUAAAGAGAGCUUUGACACUUUUC